rnacentral:misc_RNA from 1 species
AAGUCGUAACAAGGUUUCCGUAGGUGAACCUGCGGAAGGAUCAUUACCAAAUCCAAAUCUCAACCCCAUGUGAACUGUUGUUUGUCUGUCUUUGGGGGUGGCGCUGAUUUUGCUUCUGCGCUCGCCGCUCCAGCAUUUUUUUUUUGCUGCCCCCAAAUGAAUCCGGCACUCCGGUGCUUGGGUUCACCAGCUAAACCACUUUUUAAACUUUGUUGGAAUAUCUUUUGUUAAUACUAAUAAAAGACAACUCUUAACAGUGGAUCUCUUGGCUCGUG